CGGGCUUAACCUGGGAACUGCAUUGGUGACUGCAUCGCUGGAGUAUGGCAGAGGGGGGUAGAAUUCCACGUGUAGCAGUGAAAUGCGUAGAGAUGUGGAGGAAUACCGAUGGCGAAGGCAGCCCCCUGGGCCAAUAAGAGUCAUGCACGAAAGCGUGGGGAGCAAACAGGAUUAGAUACCCUGGUAGUCCACGCCCUAAACGAUGUCAACUGGUUGUCGGGCCUUCAUUGGCUUGGUAACGUAGCUAACGCGUGAAGUUGACCGCCUGGGGAGUACGGUCGCAAGAUUAAAACUCAAAGGAAUUGACGGGGACCCGCACAAGCGGUGGAUGAUGUGGAUUAAUUCGAUGCAACGCGAAAAACCUU
rnacentral:rRNA from 1 species